rnacentral:lncRNA from 1 species
AACAGAAGAAAUGACCAUGGUAUUGCUAUCAGGAAGAUGUCCCAGUUUAGCCCCCAAAUCCUGACCACCCCAAACAGACACAUCUGACUCUCUGGAUGCUGUUAAGGACCUCAAGGACGCAUCUCGAAUGUACCCACUCUGAAGGUCCUGCUUGGCUGCUGCUAGACUAUCAUUUGCACACAGCUGUGAUGUGAAAUCCUUUCAGGGCAGGAGCUUCAGGAUAAUGGUCAGUCCUUCAGGACACCUGCUGAGGAUGUUAG